UACGGGGGGGGCAAGCGUUGUUCGGAAUUACUGGGCGUAAAGGGCUCGUAGGCGGCCAACUAAGUCAGACGUGAAAUCCCUCGGCUUAACCGGGGAACUGCAUCUGAUACUGGAUGGCUUGAGUUCGGGAGAGGGAUGCGGAAUUCCCGGUGUAGCGGUGAAAUGCGCAGAUAUCGGGAAGAACACCCGUGGCGAAGGCGGCUCUCUGGGACGGUACUGACGCUGAGACGCGAAAGCGUGGGGAGCGAACAGG
rnacentral:rRNA from 1 species